rnacentral:rRNA from 1 species
UACGUAGGGGGCAAGCGUUAUCCGGAUUUACUGGGUGUAAAGGGAGCGUAGGUGGCAGGGCAAGUCAGAUGUGAAAGCCCGGGGCUCAACCCCGGGACUGCAUUUGAAACUGCCUUGCUAGAGUGCAGGAGAGGUAAGUGGAAUUCCUAGUGUAGCGGUGAAAUGCGUAGAUAUUAGGAGGAACACCGGUGGCGAAGGCGGCUAUCUGGACAGUAACUGACGCUGAGGCGCGAAAGCGUGGGGAGCAAACAGGAUUAGAUACCCUGGUAGU